AUUUAUGUAGUUUAACAAAAACAUUACACUUUCACUGUAAAAAUAAAGAAGAUUUCAUAAAUA
rnacentral:tRNA from 1 species